CGCGCGCAGGCGGUCUUCUUAAGUCUGAUGUGAAAGCCCCACGGCUCAACCGUGGAGGGUCAUUGGAAACUGGGAGACUUGAGUGCAGGAGAGAAAAGUGGAAUUCCACGUGUAGCGGUGAAAUGCGUAGAGAUGUGGAGGGAACACCAGUGGCGAAGGCGGCUUUUUGGCCUGUAACUGACGCUGAGGCGCGAAAGCGUGGGGAGCAAACAGGAUUAGAUACCCUGGUAGUCCACGCCGUAAACGAUGAGUGCUAGGUGUUGGGGGGUUCCACCCUCAGUGCUGAAGUUAACACAUUAAGCACUCCGCCUGGGGAGUACGACCGCAAGGUUGAAACUCAAAGGAAUUGACGGGGGCCCGCACAAGCAGUGGAGCAUGUGGUUUAAUUCGAAGCAACGCGAAGAACCUUACCAGGUCUUGACAUCCUUUGACCACUCUAGAGAUAGAGCUUUCCCCUUCGGGGGACAAAGUGACAGGUGGUGCAUGGUUGUCGUCAGCUCGUGUCGUGAGAUGUUGGGUUAAGUCCCGCAACGAGCGCAACCCUUGACCUUAGUUGCCAGCAUUCAGUUGGGCACUCUAAGGUGACUGCCGGUGACAAACCGGAGGAAGGUGGGGAUGACGUCAAAUCAUCAUGCCCCUUAUGACCUGGGCUACACACGUGCUACAAUGGAUGAUACAAAGGGUUGCGAAGCCGCGAGGCCAAGCCAAUCCCAAAAAGUCAUUCUCAGUUCGGAUUGUAGGCUGCAACUCGCCUACAUGAAGCCGGAAUUGCUAGUAAUCGCGGAUCAGCAUGCCGCGGUGAAUACGUUCCCGGGCCUUGUACACACCGCCCGUCACACCACGAGAGUUUGUAACACCCGAAGUCGGUGGGGAACCCUUUGGAGCCAGCCA
rnacentral:rRNA from 1 species